rnacentral:RNase_P_RNA from 1 species
CGGAGUGCCGGAGAGGAUCGCGGCGCGUUUUUAGAGCGUGUCGAGGAAAGUCCGGACUCCACAGGGCAGCGCGCUGGGUAACGCCCAGGCGGGGCGACCCGACGGAAAGUGCAGCAGAGAGCAGACCGCCAGCGGCCGGCUCCCCGGAGUCGGUGCGGGCAAGGGUGAAACGGUGGGGUAAGAGCCCACCAGUGCCCCGGGCGACCGGGGUAGCUUGGUAAACCCCGCGUGGAGCAAGGCCAAAUAGGGGGACCAUGGCGUGGCCCGCGUCGUCCCCGGGUAGGCCGCUCGAGGCGGAGGGUGACCUCCGGCCCAGAUGAAUGAUCCUCCCCCCCCGUGGGGAACAGAAUCCGGCUUACGAGGUGCUCCGCCCG